rnacentral:sRNA from 1 species
AGAACGGUCUCGCCUUAAGUCAGGUUC